GAGACACCCCUAUGGAGCAGGACUUGCUUCAGUGGGGCUUUGGUGCUCACUGAGUCUGCCUUUUGAGUGUGUCACU
rfam:Myotis brandtii contig312326, whole genome shotgun sequence.